rnacentral:rRNA from 1 species
GCCUUGUAGCGGGGGGUAACUAUUGGAAACGAUAGCUAAUACCGCAUAACAAUGGAUGACACAUGUCAUUUAUUUGAAAGGGGCAAUUGCUCCACUACAAGAUGGACCUGCGUUGUAUUAGCUAGUAGGUGAGGUAAUGGCUCACCUAGGCGACGAUACAUAGCCGACCUGAGAGGGGGAUCGGCCACACUGGGACUGAGACACGGCCCAGACUCCUACGGGAGGCAGCAGUAGGGAAUCUUCGGCAAUGGGGGCAACCCUGACCGAGCAACCCCGCGUGAGUGAAGAAGGUUUUCGGAUCGGAAAGCUCUGUUGUAAGUCAAGAACGGGUGUGAGAGUGGAAAGUUCACACUGUGACGGU